rnacentral:rRNA from 1 species
GAUGAACGCUGGCGGCGUGCCUAAUACAUGCAAGUCGAGCGAACAGACGAGGAGCUUGCUCCUCUGACGUUAGCGGCGGACGGGUGAGUAACACGUGGAUAACCUACCUAUAAGACUGGGAUAACUUCGGGAAACCGGAGCUAAUACCGGAUAAUAUAUUGAACCGCAUGGUUCAAUAGUGAAAGACGGUUUUGCUGUCACUUAUAGAUGGAUCCGCGCCGCAUUAGCUAGUUGGUAAGGUAACGGCUUACCAAGGCAACGAUGCGUAGCCGACCUGAGAGGGUGAUCGGCCACACUGGAACUGAGACACGGUCCAGACUCCUACGGGAGGCAGCAGUAGGGAAUCUUCCGCAAUGGGCGAAAGCCUGACGGAGCAACGCCGCGUGAGUGAUGAAGGUCUUCGGAUCGUAAAACUCUGUUAUUAAGGAAGAACAAAUGUGUAAGUAACUAUGCACGUCUUGACGGUUCCUAAUCAGAAAGCCACGGCUAACUACGUG